rnacentral:rRNA from 1 species
CGGGUGUGACUGCGUACCUUUUGUAUAAUGGGUCAGCGACUUAUAUUCUGUAGCAAGGUUAACCGUAUAGGGGAGCCGCAGGGAAACCGAGUCUUAACUGGGCGUUAAGUUGCAGGGUAUAGACCCGAAACCCGGUGAUCUAGCCAUGGGCAGGUUGAAGGUUGGGUAACACUAACUGGAGGACCGAACCGACUAAUGUUGAAAAAUUAGCGGAUGACUUGUGGCUGGGGGUGAAAGGCCAAUCAAACCGGGAGAUAGCUGGUUCUCCCCGAAAGCUAUUUAGGUAGCGCCUCGUGAACUCAUCUUCGGGGGUAGAGCACUGUUUCGGCUAGGGGGUCAUCCCGACUUACCAACCCGAUGCAAACUACGAAUACCGAAGAAUGUUAUCACGGGAGACACACGGCGGGUGCUAACGUCCGUCGUGAAGAGGGAAACAACCCAGACCGCCAGCUAAGGUCCCAAAGUCAUGGUUAAGUGGGAAACGAUGUGGGAAGGCACAGACAGCCAGGAUGUUGGCUUAGAAGCAGCCAUCAUUUAAAGAAAGCGUAAUAGCUCACUGGUCGAGUCGGCCUGCGCGGAAGAUGUAACGGGGCUAAACCAUGCACCGAAGCUGCGGCAGCGACACUAUGUGUUGUUGGGUAGGGGAGCGUUCUGUAAGCCUGCGAA